UUUUCUAAUUCCUUUUAUGUAGGUUGCAAAGCAGAGCUUCCUUGCUGACCGACACCCCUCUAAAACAUGGUGUGACUCAUAAUAGGAGCCUGCCGCUAUGUGGCUAGGAAAAUAGCAGCCUCCCUGCGCCGUGAGGAUCUGGGGGAGCCCAUGACUGUGUGCAAGAAACAAGUAUGCCGAAAUGGCAAGCAAGACCUCACAACAAUGCCACAAUCCACAUGUUGUUCUGUUGGCCAGGGGUGCCCCCCUCCUUCUGCUUUAGAAGUUGGGACCCAGAAGCCUCCUACAUGAUGGAACAAAACUGAGAACAGCAAGCAGUGAAUGACGGCUCAUUUGGCAACUCCUGAAUGUGUAGGAAUCAAAUGGACCCGAGGAUCUUUCUGCUGCUCCUGCAUCCCCCAGCCACUGUUUCACUUUGAAAAUAAAAUACUUCACACACUUUA